GUUUGUGUAUUUGGUGUGUUGCCGUCUGGAAGUGGUUUGUCAUCAGCUUCUCUCUUUUAUUGUAUGAGGUGGCAUCCGCAGAAGUUGCAGUCUUUAAUGUGACUAGUAAGAAUGGAUCCUAUUUUUGUGGAAAUCGGCACCAUGAUGGAGAAACCCGUUAAGGUUAUCUCUGAGUGCUUCAGUUUCCUCCCUUAGUCCAAAGACAUGCAGGUAGGCUAAUUGGUGCAGCUAAAUUGCCUGUAGGGUGUAAGUACCCCAGGUCAAAAUGACAUCCUCUCCAGCUUUGACCCCCUACCCCCCGUAACCCUGACAGUGAUUGGAAGAUAGGUGUGUGUGUGUUUUUUUUUUUU